UACGUAGGGUGCAAGCGUUGUCCGGAAUUAUUGGGCGUAAAGGGCUCGUAGGCGGUCUGUCACGUCGGGAGUGAAAACUCAGGGCUUAAACCCUGAGCCUGCUUCCGAUACGGGCAGACUAGAGGUAUGCAGGGGGAGAAUGGAAUUCCUGGUGUAGCGGUGAAAUGCGCAGAUAUCAGGAGGAACACCAGUGGCGAAGGCGGUUUCUCUGGGCAUUUACCUGACGCUGAGGAGCGAAAGUGUGGGAGCGAACAGG
rnacentral:rRNA from 1 species